UGGUGCCUUCGGGAACUGUGAGACAGGUGCUGCAUGGCUGUCGUCAGCUCGUGUUGUGAAAUGUUGGGUUAAGUCCCGCAACGAGCGCAACCCUUAUCCUUUGUUGCCAGCGGUUAGGCCGGGAACUCAAAGGAGACUGCCAGUGAUAAACUGGAGGAAGGUGGGGAUGACGUCAAGUCAUCAUGGCCCUUACGACCAGGGCUACACACGUGCUACAAUGGCGCAUACAAAGAGAAGCGACCUCGCGAGAGCAAGCGGACCUCAUAAAGUGCGUCGUAGUCCGGAUUGGAGUCUGCAACUCGACUCCAUGAAGUCGGAAUCGCUAGUAAUCGUGGAUCAGAAUGCCACGGUGAAUACGUUCCCGGGCCUUGUACACACCGCCCGUCACACCAUGGGAGUGGGUUGCAAAAGAAGUAGGUAGCUUAACCUUCGGGAGGGCGCUUACCACUUUGUGAUUCAUGACUGGGGUGAAGUCGUAACAAGGUAACCGUAGGGGAACCUGCGGUUGGAUCACCUCCUUA
rnacentral:rRNA from 1 species